rnacentral:rRNA from 1 species
AUCGAACGCUGGCGGCAGGCUUAACACAUGCAAGUCGAGCGAGUGGCGGACGGGUGAGUAAUGUCUGGGAAACUGCCCGAUGGAGGGGGAUAACUACUGGAAACGGUAGCUAAUCCCGCAUACCAUCAGAUGUGCCCAGAUGGGAUUAGCUAGUAGGUGGGGUAAUGGCUCACCUAGGCGACGCUCCCUAGCUGGUCUGAGAGGAUGACCAGCCACACUGGAACUGAGACACGGUCCAGACUCCUACGGGAGGCAGCAGUGGGGAAUAUUGCACAAUGGGCGAAAGCCUGAUGCAGCCAUGCCGCGUGUAUGAAGAAGGCCUUCGGGUUGUAAAGUACUUUCAGCGGGGAGGCGUUACUCGCAGAAGAAGCACCGGCUAACUCCGUGCCAGCAGCCGCGGUAAUAC